CGUCUGGUGGAUGGCUCGGCUUGAGCGCCGAAGAAGGGCGCGGCAAGCUGCGAUAAGCCCCGGGGAGGCGCAUGCGGCCUUCGAUCCGGGGAUUCCCGAAUGGGACCUCCUACUGUAGAAGCCUGAAAGGCUUCUACAGUGCUCCCACCGGCGAAAGCCGGGGGAGUGGGAACCCCCCGAACGGAAACAUCUUAGUAGGGGGAGGAAGAGAAACCAACAGGGAUCCCCUGAGUAGGGGCGACCGAAAGGGGGAGAGUCCAAACCAAACCCUGCGGGGAAACCCGUGGGGGAUGUGGUGUUGUUGGGGCCCGGCCGCCUCCUCCUCGGUGAAGCCGAAGUGGCCUGGAACGGCCCGCCGUAGAGGGUGAAAGCCCCGUAGGCGUAAGCCGAGUGGAGUUGGGCCGGUGACCCAGAGUACCGUACCCCGGUUUGGGUGCGGGAAUCAGGGAGUCAUCAACUUCCAAGACUAAACACGUCUCAAGACCGAUAGCGAACAAGUACGGUGACGGAAAGCUGAAAAGCACCCCGGAAGGGGGGUGAAAAGAGCCUGAAACCAGACGGCUACAGGAACGUGCGCGGCCUGGAAGGGUAGAUCCCUCCCGAAGUCGAACGCGGCGACGCGGGAGACGAGGGAGGGGGACCAGGGUCGCGCGUUCCGUCUAGAAACACGGGCCGGGGAGUUCACGGCCGUGGCAAGCUUAAGGGUUUAAAGCCCGUAGGCGUAAGGAAACUGACAUGCGCGCAGCCAGCCUUUAUGGCUGGUGAGGCGCGGGGUCUGAAAGGGCCCGGAGUCACGGCCGUGAAGCUAGAAACCGGGCGAUCUAGCCCGGGGCAGGGCGAAGCCAGGCGAAAGCCUGGUGGAGGCCCGAAGGGGUGCUGACGUGCAAUUCGCUCCUCUGACCCUGGGCUAGGGGCUAAAGACCAAUCUAGCCCGGUGAUAGCUAGUUCCCUCCGAAGUGGGUCCUAGCCCAGCCCUGGGCGAGGUAGCCCACGGGGUAGAGCACUGACUGGAAGGUAAGGGGCCGAAAGGCCUCGCCUUCCUAUCAAACUCCGAAUCCGUGGGCGCCGUAGACCCCAGGAGACGGGUUCCGGGGGGUAAGCUCCCGGACCGAGAGGGGGACAACCCGGACCGAGGUUAAGGCCCCAAAAUGCUGGCUAAGUGCCAAACAGAAGGGCGUCCCCAGCCUUAGACAGCGGGGAGGUAGGCUUAGAAGCAGCCAUCCUUUAAAGAGUGCGUAACAGCUCACCCGCCGAGGCUGGGGGCCCCGAAAAUGGACGGGGCUAAGCCAGCUGCCGAGACCUCGGGGCGCAGCCGUAGCGGCUGCGGUCUGGUAGGAGGGCGUCCCGGCUGGGCAGAAGCUGGGCCGUGAGGUCCAGUGGACCGGCCGGGAGUGCAGAUCCCGGUGGUAGUAACAGCAAAGAGGGGUGAGAAUCCCCUCCGCCGUAGGGGCCAGGGUUCCCUGGCACUGAUCGUCAGCCAGGGGUUAGCCGGUCCUAAGGCCGACCUUAACUGGGUAGGCCGAAAGGGAAACCGGUUAAUAUUCCGGUGCCGUAGGGGUACGUUUCGCGGCGACGCAAGGCCCAGCGCCUGACGCCUCGGGGUAGGCUGAGCGGCGCCGUCGCGCCGUUUAACCGUAUAAGCCUGGGGAGUGCCGUAAUGGCGAGAACCAGGCGAAAGCGGGAAUAGCCGCCCGUUUAGGGCGGUUCAGCCGAUCCCUGGGGCCAAUGAAAAGGGCGCUGGGAAGGAUCCCCUACGACCGUACCAAGAACCGACACAGGUGCCCCUAGGCGAGAAACCUCAGGCGUGUCGGGUAUACGCCAGGCGAGGGAACUCGGCAAAUUAGCCCCGUAACUUCGGGAUAAGGGGUGCCUGCGGUUUUCGCUUCUGGCGGGAACCGCAGGUCGCAGUGGCAAGGGGGUCCCGACUGUUUAAUAAACGGGUAAGGGCGCCGGCCAAAUCUUUAAAAAGCAAACCGGAAAUCCUCCGUAAAGAAAUUUCUGGAAGUAAUUCCAUCUUAUAGGCUAAAGGCGUACCUGCCCGGUUAAAAAACACAGGGAGCCGCGAGCCCGAAAGGGUGUGUACGGCUCCUGAAUCCUGGCCAGUACGGGUACCUGAAACCCGGGUUCAACCGGGCUAAGGGCCCGCAAACGCCGGGAGUAACUCUGACUCUCGAAGAAGGGAGUCAUUAAACUCGGCUAUAUGCGGGGAAGGGGGAUUUAGUUGACCUCCCGAGUAGGGAACAAUGGUCAACUAUAUGACCCUGACCCGCAGGGAACCACCCGCCUCAAAUACUUUUAAAGAUCUUAAGCAUUAAUUUGACAUGGGUGAAAAAUUGCUUAGCGAAUUCAAAGAUCUGAUAGAUCCAAGGAUGCUGCCAAGCAGAAGGAAAUACCUCUACUAUUACAUAGUUGGUCUUGUAGAUGGUGAGGGAUGCUUUUCAAUAUCGGUUAAAAAACAGGAGGACACAAAAUUCGGCUGGGUUAUUGACCCAGUAUUUCAUGUUACACAAAGUAAAGAUCAAAUAGCGGUGCUUGAAAUCCUGAAGAGGGUUUUUAACUGCGGGCGCAUUAUACCGAAGCCAGGACAGGAGGACUCAACGUUUCAGUACAUUGUAGAUUCGCGAAAAAACAUUGCAGAAAAAAUAAUUCCAUUCUUCAGAAAGCAUAAACCCAUAGUAAAGUGGCGAGAAUUCCAAUAUUUCGCUGAAAUAGUUGAAGGGUUGGAGAGAGGUGAACACAGAACUCCUGAAGGCUUCAAAAAUCUCCUGAAGAAGGCAUAUGAAAUCUCAUCAAACAGGAAACAUAAAUUAGAUGACGUAAUUUCUGAGAUAGAGAGGCGGGUGGACGCCUCAGAGACCAUACGCCGAGCGCCGUAGAGGGAUAAUGGAGAUGAACUCGAGGGCGAAGAUAUGGUCCAACCCCAUUUCGGGGUUGCUCAAGGUAGCCAAAUGCCUUGUCGGGUAAGUUCCGACGUGCAUGAAUGGAUCAACGAGGGCCCCACUGUCCCCGCCUGGCACCCGGUGAACCCACAUUCGUAGAGGAACGGUCUACGGCCCCCCAGCGGGAAAAGAAGACCCCGUGGAGCUUUACUGCAGCCUGUCGCUGAGAUACGGCCGCGGGUGCAGAGUGUAGGCGGGAGCCUUUGACCCCAACCUCUCCGGGGGUUGGGGUAGGCGCCAAUGGAACACCGCCCACUUGCGGCUGUAUCUCUUACCGGUGCCGUUGCGCGCCGGGACAACGGCAGGUGGGCAGUUCGGCUGGGGCGGCGCCCCCUUGAAAAGAUAUCGAGGGGGCCCAAAGGUCGGCUCAGGCGGGACAGAAACCCGCCGUGGAGUGCAAGGGCAAAAGCCGGCCUGACUGGACCCCUAACAGUAUCGGGUCCAGGGGCGAAAGCCGGGCCUAGCGAGCCGUCAUGUCCCUAUUGAUGGGGGCUGGCGGCGACAGAAAAGUUACCCCGGGGAUAACAGGCUCGUCGCGGGCGAGAGUUCCCAUCGACCCCGCGGCUUGGUACCUCGAUGUCGGCUCUUCCCAUCCUGGCUCCGCAUUGGGGGCCAAGGGUGAGGCUGCUCGCCUAUUAAAGGGGAACGUGAGCUGGGUUUAGACCGUCGUGAGACAGGUCGGACUUUAUCUGCUGGGGGUGGUGGCCGCCUGAGGGGAAAGCGUCCCUAGUACGAGAGGAACGGGACGCUGUGGCCUCUAGUUUACCGGUUGUCCGACAGGGCACUGCCGGGCAGCCACGCCGCCGCGGAUAAGAGCUGAAAGCAUCUAAGCUCGAAGCCGCUCCCGAAACGAGGCGGCCAUUCCACGGC
rnacentral:rRNA from 1 species